rnacentral:rRNA from 1 species
GACGAACGCUGGCGGCGUGCCUAAUACAUGCAAGUUGAGCGCUGAAGGUUGGUACUUGUACCAACUGGAUGAGCAGCGAACGGGUGAGUAACGCGUGGGGAAUCUGCCUUUGAGCGGGGACAACAUUUGGAAACGAAUGCUAAUACCGCAUAAAAACUUUAAACACAAGUUUUCAGUUUGAAAGAUGCAAUUGCAUCACUCAAAGAUGAUCCCGCGUUGUAUUAGCUAGUUGGUGAGGUAAAGGCUCACCAAGGCGAUGAUACAUAGCCGACCUGAGAGGGUGAUCGGCCACAUUGGGACUGAGACACGGCCCAAACUCCUACGGGAGGCAGCAGUAGGGAAUCUUCGGCAAUGGACGAAAGUCUGACCGAGCAACGCCGCGUGAGUGAAGAAGGUUUUCGGAUCGUAAAACUCGGUUGGUAGAGAAGAACGUUGGUGAGAGUGGAAAGCUCAUCAAGUGACGGUAACUACCCAGAAAGGGACGGCUAACUACGUG